rnacentral:rRNA from 1 species
GAUGAACGCUGGCGGCGUGCCUAAUACAUGCAAGUCGAGCGAACGGACGAGAAGCUUGCUUCUCUGAUGUUAGCGGCGGACGGGUGAGUAACACGUGGAUAACCUACCUAUAAGACUGGGAUAACUUCGGGAAACCGGAGCUAAUACCGGAUAAUAUUUUGAACCGCAUGGUUCAAAAGUGAAAGACGGUCUUGCUGUCACUUAUAGAUGGAUCCGCGCUGCAUUAGCUAGUUGGUAAGGUAACGGCUUACCAAGGCAACGAUGCAUAGCCGACCUGAGAGGGUGAUCGGCCACACUGGAACUGAGACACGGUCCAGACUCCUACGGGAGGCAGCAGUAGGGAAUCUUCCGCAAUGGGCGAAAGCCUGACGGAGCAACGCCGCGUGAGUGAUGAAGGUCUUCGGAUCGUAAAACUCUGUUAUUAGGGAAGAACAUAUGUGUAAGUAACUGUGCACAUCUUGACGGUACCUAAUCAGAAAGCCACGGCUAACUACGUGCCAGCAGCCGCGGUAAUACGUAGGUGGCAAGCGUUAUCCGGAAUUAUUGGGGGUAAAGCGCGCGUAGCGGUUUUUUAGUCUGAUGUGAAAGCCCACGGCUCAACCGUGGAGGGUCAUUGGAAACUGGAAAACUUGAGUGCAGAAGAGGAAAGUGGAAUUCCAUGUGUAGCGGUGAAAUGCGCAGAGAUAUGGAGGAACACCAGUGGCGAAGGCGACUUUCUGGUCUGUAACUGACGCUGAUGUGCGAAAGCGUGGGGAUCAAACAGGAUUAGAUACCCUGGUAGUCCACGCCGUAAACGAUGAGUGCUAAGUGUUAGGGGGUUUCCGCCCCUUAGUGCUGCAGCUAACGCAUUAAGCACUCCGCCUGGGGAGUACGACCGCAAGGUUGAAACUCAAAGGAAUUGACGGGGACCCGCACAAGCGGUGGAGCAUGUGGUUUAAUUCGAAGCAACGCGAAGAACCUUACCAAAUCUUGACAUCCUUUGACAACUCUAGAGAUAGAGCCUUCCCCUUCGGGGGACAAAGUGACAGGUGGUGCAUGGUUGUCGUCAGCUCGUGUCGUGAGAUGUUGGGUUAAGUCCCGCAACGAGCGCAACCCUUAAGCUUAGUUGCCAUCAUUAAGUUGGGCACUCUAAGUUGACUGCCGGUGACAAACCGGAGGAAGGUGGGGAUGACGUCAAAUCAUCAUGCCCCUUAUGAUUUGGGCUACACACGUGCUACAAUGGACAAUACAAAGGGCAGCGAAACCGCGAGGUCAAGCAAAUCCCAUAAAGUUGUUCUCAGUUCGGAUUGUAGUCUGCAACUCGACUACAUGAAGCUGGAAUCGCUAGUAAUCGUAGAUCAGCAUGCUACGGUGAAUACGUUCCCGGGUCU